AUUGAACGCUGGCGGCAUGCUUUACACAUGCAAGUCGAACGGCAACGAGGAGAAGCUUGCUUCUCUGUCGGCGAGUGGCGCACGGGUGAGUAUAGCAUCGGAACGUGCCAAGUAGUGGGGGAUAACCAAACGAAAGUUUGGCUAAUACCGCGUAAGCUCCAAGGCGGAAAGUAGGGGACCUAAAUAAGGCCUUACGCUAUUUGAUCGGCCGAUGUCGGAUUAGCUAGUUGGUGGGGUAAUGGCUCACCAAGGCAAUGAUCCGUAGCGGGUCUGAGAGGACGAUCGGCCACACUGGGACUGAGACACGGCCCAGACUCCUACGGGAGGCAGCAGUGGGGAAUUUUGGACAAUGGGGGAAACCCUGAUCCAGCCAUGCCGCGUGUAUGAAGAAGGCCUUAGGGUUGUAAAGUACUUUUGUUAGGGAAGAAAAGCUAGUUUUUAAUAAAAAUUAGUGAUGACGGUACCUAAAGAAUAAGCACCGGCUAACUACGUG
rnacentral:rRNA from 1 species